AAAAAUUUUGUAUGUCACAGAUUAUUUUGAGAUCACAAAUCAAAAAUUUUGUAGGUCCCAAUUAAUUUCAUUAGUCACAGAUGAAAAAAUUAUAGGUCGCAGUUUAUAUAUCGAUCACAUAUUUUCAAAUUUGUUGGUCACAGAUUAUCGAAUUUUAAGAUUACAAUUAAACAGUUGGUCACGAAUAACCAAACAGUUGGUUACAUGUCAAAUAGUCGGUCACCACCAACUCCAUUGCCACCACCAUCACUCACAACAACCCUCACCUUGUCACCACCGCCACCACCACAACAACAUCACUACCAACACCAACACCACGGCAUCACCGCCAAAAAAAUCGUUGCCACCAAAAACCACAAUGACCCCCACCACCAAACACACCAAAAAAAAUCACCAUCAUCAUUGCCUGAACCACACUAUCAUCAUAGCCACUACCUACAUCGCAUUGCAACACAGCGGUCGCACCACACCACAGCCAUUGCCUGCAAACAAACGCCACCACACCACACAAGCCACCAUCCAAAACCAUCCCAAUCGCCAAAUCCACCAUACAACCACAAAAACGCUACCACACAAACACCAACCACACAAACACCAUCACACAAACCACCAUCCAAAACCACCCCCAACCGCUA
rnacentral:lncRNA from 1 species